UACAUGAACUGGACACCUGCUCUGCUACAGCAUGACUCCCAGACCCAUCUCACUACUGCUGUUACUGGCAGCUGCAUCCUAUGUGCAUUCGGCUAUUGAUCUCACACAGCCCAGCUCAAUGGUUGUCAGGCCUGGAGAGGCCAUGACCAUCAGCUGCAAGGUGGCUGGAUACUCUGUUGCUGACAGGUACGCCACAGGCUGGAUUCGACAGCCUGCAGGAAAAGCAUUGGAGUAUAUCAACCACAUUUGGGGAAAUGAUAAUACCUACCAGGCAGAAUCCCUGAAGAGCAAGUUCAGCAUCUCUAAAGAUGGCUUCAGCAACACUGUGACUCUGAGAGGCCAAAACAUGCAGCCUGGAGACUCUGCUGUCUACUACUGUGCCAGAUACUAUGGCCACUGUGGAUACUGCCAGACCCUGACAGAGUCAGAAGGAGCUGUGGUGUCACCUGGAGGAUCGUACAAACUCACCUGUACGGCCUCUGGGCUGGACAUCAGCAACUACUACAUGGCUUGGAAUAGACAAGCACCAGGAAAAGGCCUCGAGUGGCUUGCACUUAUGCAUGGUGGUACUAUUUAUUAUUCACAAGCUGUUCAAGGAAGGUUCACCAUCUCCAGAGACGACAGCAAGAAGCAGGUGUAUCUGCAGAUGAACAGUCUGAAGGCUGAAGACACGGCUGUGACGAGGCAAGGACGCUGA